AUGUGUAAGCGUAUAUGUAAAAAAAAAUAUUAACUGAAUUUUAUUUGCGGGGAGUUAAUAAAUCUAAUACUCGAGUACUUCUGAAAUAAAACUUUUUUACUCCUCUUGGGAAAAUAAUUAUAAUUUUGAUGAUCUGAUUUUUAGUUACUCCACAUAGACAAAAACCGAAUCCCUAACUGAACUCAAAACGAUAUCCUUACUGGCCAGAUGACUUCUUAAUUUUAGCAAACAACAAAUGAUUCUAAAUAAGCCAAUCUACAUAGAUCAUUAUAUCACGUUAAUGAAGAGGCACGGAAAUAUACGCAAUUCAGCUUCUUCUACUGAUAGUUACAGGGAGAAAAGCACGAGGCCUACGUGCGUGUCACCCUAAGUCAGCACUACCGGGCGGUGAAAGAAAAGCGAACCUGCGUCUCCAAACCGUCAAUUGACGGAAACCACAGCUUCGCGGAGGGAUUCAAUUUUAAAUUGAUCCCCUCGCAGGCGGACAUAACAAGCUUGGCGUUUCACGUUUUUCAACACACAUCGGGAUACGGUAGGGACAAAUUAGUUGGGAAAUGUGUGCUGGGUUCCUACAUGUUCGCAAGAGGAAAAGCGCUCACGCACUGGAAUACAGCUAUUGCCAACCCCAUGGAACCAUUGCAACAGUGGCAUACCUUAAAUGAAUAAGAAAAAACUCUUUACGGCGGUGCUUCAACUGUCAAGACUGAUCUGCAACUCACUUCAAAAUCCACGUAAUAGGUGUACAUCCGUCUGUAUCUACUUUACUGCAAAAUUGUACCGCCUCCAUUGAAGAGAUGUAGGUUUGCACCGGAAGCCGGAAGUGUACUUUAUAUACUGUACGUUCCCUUACAUGUGCUUAGUUUUAGCACAGACAGCAUAAGUAUGUAUAUGUCUGUGGUUUUAGUACCUCUAAAAGAUGCAGUGUCAUAACUCAUGUACUUCCCGUUUCCAAUGCGCGCGCACUACGUGAUACAUCAUACCCUAAACAGUCUUGCCUCGAAUGGGCUUUAGGGCUUAAGCCCACGCAUGAAAUGAGGAAUUUAAAUAACACAUAUUGUUAUUUUGGCGUCAUUAUGAACAUGCAUAAAAUAUUUGCCAUGAAAUCCACAGAAGAAACUAUUUUCACACUUCCCCAUGACACACAGUAUGUCAUAUUUGUCCAUACCUGUAUGUACCAUAUAAUUACAUAGUCAAUAGAUAAAAAUUGAUAUUAUUAUGUUUAUAAAUGUAUAUAGAAAUUUAUGUAAAUUUAAUGUAGAGGUCUCGGACUAUUUGUAACCAAAGUCAAAUGCGCCAAAACUACAAGAGGCUAUCUUGCCCUCCUUUUAAUAAAGUAGUUUUGUUAAUUUGACUCUGUAGGUCCGCUUAUCUACAUACCCUCGCUGUAAGAAGUGUAGUUCAAUAAAAUACCUUUUGACUGUA